GAAAAAUUAAAUGCCUCUCAAAAUGUAUAAUUAUGUACAAAUACGUGCAUACAUUGACACAUUCUCAAUAGAAACACACGAAUACCCUUUCAUUGAACAAUUAUGUCCUGUACAUAAUCAACUAAUCAAACCUAUUUACUUGUUUUUAUAAAUAUACAUGUAGCAUAUUGUUUGAAAGCGGCACACACACAUUUUUAUCUAUUUCAUCGUACAGUCUCGAACUAUGAGCAAUACCAGUGACAACAUAGUUUACUCUUAAAAGACACUGGUACAACAUAAUGUGAAAUGUGCUUUUCAAUAGAGCAAACUAACGAUCACUGAAUGUAAAAUUAUGUUAAAAAACUAUAAAAAAAGAAAAGUAAUUAACGACCACUGCUAGUUUCGGACAGACAUAAUAAAUCACUUUACAGUAUGAGUUUUCCUCAAUGUUGAAGGCCGUGGUGUUGACUAUAUAAAUAAACAUAUAACUGUAUGGAUGUACUUUGUUUCAAGCUCUUUAGAAGUUUUCAUGAUGAUUGCAUGUAAUGUGUAAUAAAUAAGAUUAACC
rnacentral:lncRNA from 1 species